GCCUAACCUAACACACAAUAAAACACCAAUUGUUCGCCAAACAACUACGAGUAAAAACUUAAAACUUAAAAGACUUGACGGUACUUCACACCACCCUAGAGGAGCCUGUCUAAUAACCGAUACUCCACGAUUAACCCAACCCCCUCUAGCCAACCAGUCUAUAUACCGCCAUCGCCAGCCUACCUUGUAAAAGAAACAAAGUAAGCGCAACAGCCACCACUAACACGAUAGGUCGAGGUGUAACAAAUGAAGGGGUAAAAGAUGGGCUACAUUUUCUAACACAGAAAACACGAACAAACUAUGAAAGUAGAAACAGAAGGCGGAUUUAGCAGUACGUUAAGGACAAAAUGCUUAACCGAAACAAACGCAAUGAAGUGCGUACACACCGCCCGUCAUCCCUGGAACAACAAUAAAUAACAUUUAUAAAAACACAAAACACCUUAAACAGGGCAAGUCGUAACAUGGUAAGCGUACUGGAAAGUGCGCUUAGAAA
rnacentral:rRNA from 1 species